UGGGGACCAGGGUGAACAGGUGGCCUUUGUGGUAGGGGAUAUUUUAAAAAGUCUCCCUAGAACAUUUAAAGUUCUCACCUUCACAGAUGCAUCUUUUUGACUGAUCCCACAGCUGGACCUAGAAAGGAACAGGGUGGUGCACGGCCCUAGGAAAUCUGGCCACAGAAUGAAACCACGCCCCAAUCUGGGCUCGGUUUGGGGGUGCAGGAGCCUUGAUGGUGACUGGCAAGGAAUGAUACGUGAAAGGGAUCAGAGAGAAACACAACGACACCCUUGCAGGAGUGUGGACAAUAAAUGGUGGUGUAACAAGCAGACAGGAGCUGUCCCUACCGAAGGCUUUCCUAGGACAUGUGUAGACGUGGGCUGCAUUGACCAUCUACCUACGCAAGGGCACAGCCGAGGGUAAGAAGCCAAGUUUGGAGAGACUGCGUUUUACUGAGGAGACAAUACAAUGGGGCUAAUUCUAGCAUCCACCUCUCAGCACUGCUGUGAAGAUUCAGGGAGGUGGUGAGCAUCACACAUCAGAAGAGCAUUUGGCACAUUUGGUGUUGUUAUUCCUGCAGCUUCCUGGAAGGGAGCCCCCCCCCUCCCCAAUGUGCCCAACCUGUGACCUGCCCUCUUUUUCAUAAUAAAAACUUCAAAAAAGAAACUUUAUUACAU
rnacentral:lncRNA from 1 species